UGGGGAAUAUUGCACAAUGGGCGCACGCCUGAUGCAGCCAUGCCGCGUGUAUGAAGAAGGCCUUCGGGUUGUAAAGUACUUUCAGCGGGGAGGAAGGGAGUAAAGUUAAUACCUUUGCUCAUUGACGUUACCCGCAGAAGAAGCACCGGCUAACUCCGUGCCAGCAGCCGCGGUAAUACGGAGGGUGCAAGCGUUAAUCGGAAUUACUGGGCGUAAAGCGCACGCAGGCGGUUUGUUAAGUCAGAUGUGAAAUCCCCGGGCUCAACCUGGGAACUGCAUCUGAUACUGGCAAGCUUGAGUCUCGUAGAGGGGGGUAGAAUUCCAGGUGUAGCGGUGAAAUGCGUAGAGAUCUGGAGGAAUACCGGUGGCGAAGGCGGCCCCCUGGACGAAGACUGACGCUCAGGUGCGAAAGCGUGGGGAGCAAACAGG
rnacentral:rRNA from 1 species